AUUGAACGCUGGCGGCAGGCCUAACACAUGCAAGUCGAACGUGUGGCGGACGGGUGAGUAAUGUCUGGGAACCUGCCUGUUGGAGGGGGAUAACUACUGGAAACGGUAGCUAAUCCCGCAUACCAUCAGAUGUGCCCAGAUGGGCUUGGCUUGUUGGUGGGGUAACGGCUCACCAAGGCGACGACCCCUAGCUGGUCUGAGAGGAGGACCGGCCACACGGGAACGGGGAAACGGUCCAGAGUCCUACGGGAGGCAGCAGUGGGGAAUAUGGGACAAUGGGCGAAAGCCGGAUGCAGCCAUGCCGCGGGGAUGAAGAAGGCCUUCGGGUGGUAAAGUACUUUGAGCGGGGAGGCGUUACCCGCAGAAGAAGCACCGGCUAACUCCGUGCCAGCAGCCGCGGUAAUUC
rnacentral:rRNA from 1 species